UCCUCGAUGGUCUAUUGGUAUGAUUCGGCUCUCUCACAGCCGCGAACGGGGUUCGAUUCCCCGUCGGGGAA
rfam:Microbotryum lychnidis-dioicae p1A1 Lamole unplaced genomic scaffold supercont1.184, whole genome shotgun sequence.